GUAGGUGGCAAGCGUUGUCCGGAAUUAUUGGGCGUAAAGCGCGCGCAGGCGGUUCUUUAAGUCUGAUGUGAAAGCCCACGGCUUAACCGUGGAGGGUCAUUGGAAACUGGAGAACUUGAGUACAGAAGAGGAAAGCGGAAUUCCACGUGUAGCGGUGAAAUGCGUAGAGAUGUGGAGGAACACCAGUGGCGAAGGCGGCUUUCUGGUCUGUAACUGACGCUGAGGCGCGAAAGCGUGGGGAGCAAACAGGGAUUAGAUACCCUGGUAGUCCACGCCGUAAACGAUGAGUGCUAAGUGUUAGGGGGUUUCCCGCCCCUUAGUGCUGCAGCUAACGCAUUAAGCACUCCGCCUGGGGAGUACGGCCGCAAGGCUG
rnacentral:rRNA from 1 species